rnacentral:lncRNA from 1 species
GAGACUGGAGGCUAGGCCAUCGCUGAGCUCAGAGGAUAUCACAGCUGGCUUCUCCAGUCCUGGACUCCCAGGAGACGGCUUCAGAAUGGUCGCCUCUCAGCCUGUCUGGUCCCACACACUGCCUGGAGAGAUCAGCCCACUGCUGGCUGGAUCCAGAGGUGACCUGGUACCUCCUCCUUCCUCCACAGCCUGCCUUCUUCUUUUUCUCAAAAGCCAUGAAAAAGGAGAUAAUGGAGAUGAAUCAUCUGGCUUCGGACGGAACAAACAGGCUGUCUGUGACCAGGAGCCCAGGAUGGAAACCCUAGCCUCUACCUGAUGGAGGGGUUGGCAAGAGUGGGGCAGAGCUGGACCAGGCUCCGGUCCAGAUGCCUUGUGAGCUGGCAUACCUCACUGCCUGCCUUUCUCCCUGCCCAGGUUGGAAACCUGGGGGGCCAGGCUCCUAGGCAAGGCCUUUGAAGGGACACCUGACUCAGCGGGACCUCAGCUUGCCAUUACCCCUUGAUGUCACCCCCUCCUUGCUCAGGCUAUAGAGGGACUGGGGAGAGGACAGAGAGGUCUGUCUGCACUGGGCCUUCUCUGGUGAACUUUAAGAAAGCUCAGAGGUGAACUGGCCCAAGGCCCAGGGGCUGAUGGGAGGUGGUUUGGCAGCUGUCUCCAGAAGAGGAGAUCGGAGAGCGGAAGGGAAAAAAGAGGAUUCUAGUGUCCCCCAC